rnacentral:rRNA from 1 species
UACGAAGGGUGCAAGCGUUAAUCGGAAUUACUGGGCGUAAAGCAUGCGUAGGCGGUCUUUUAAGUCCGAUGUGAAAGCCCUGGGCUCAACCUGGGAAUGGCACUGGAUACUGGAAGGCUAGAGUACGGUAGAGGAGGGUGGAAUUCCAGGUGUAGCGGUGAAAUGCGUAGAUAUCUGGAGGAAUACCGGUGGCGAAGGCGGCAUCCUGGACCGGCAUUGACGCUGAAGCGCGAAAGCUAGGGGAGCAAACGGG